GCUGUAUCGAUUGUUGAGAUCUGGCGACUUGUUUAAAUUUCAUCAGCCUCACUUCUAUGAACUCUCAGGCCUCAUGUGUACCAGCUCUCUGCUCUCCUUUGCCUUGGGACGUUCCAUCCCUGGAAGUUUCCCUGCCCACAUCUUUGUAGAGAGUCCAUUCUCCAAGCUUCAGUGUGUCAUCUGUGAGGACUGUGACCAACCUGGUACAUCGCCUCAGGGCAUUCAUUUCAGGCUCCUUCUAAAUGGUCAAGACAAAACACCAACAUUUUUGUAAUGGCCUGCAAGGCCUUCCGAGAUCUGCCUCCUGCAACUCAGCUUCUCCUGUGCUCUCCUUCUGGACUCACUCUGCCUCAGCAACACUGGUCCCUGUUGCCCCACCAAUAUACCAGGCACCCUUGGAAAUGCAAUGCUACAUCUCAAUGGGAUUUUCCAGUACAAAGAUUCUUUUCAAAUAACAUAAUUGUGGAUACACACCACUCCUACAGUGGUAAACCUCAGGUUCUCCUCCUGCCUUUUGCUAAGUAUAUGUCUUGAUGACAAGCCUUCUGCUGAUGAGCUGUGUUUCUGGACCGAUCAUGGUAGAAGUCAAUUAACGUGUCCCUCACUUGGGGUUUCUCAAGGCUGCACUGAUGAGGAAACUGAAACAGAAAAUCCAGAGUAAAUUCCACCAGGCCACACAGCAAGGUCUGAUAGAGCCAGGAGAGACUUUAUGAAAUCCAGACUCUCACACUAAUGCUCUAUCAGCUAGACCUCCAUGUGAGUCUCCCCAAUGUAGGUAGGAAGUGCUUUCCC
rnacentral:lncRNA from 1 species